ACUCCUCCACCCUCUGCCUUUUUCGGAAGGCAUUGGGCUGGGAUUUGGGAGCUUGCGGGUCCCUGGCCGAUCCGCUCUCCUUGAAUACAUUAGCGAAGCCCUUGCGGCCUUGGUGUGAUAGUCAUCUACGCCUCGGCUUAGCGAACAUACGGGGACUUGCUUCCAACCGUCUCGCAAGAGACAACUACUACCA
rnacentral:misc_RNA from 1 species